rnacentral:rRNA from 1 species
UGAGCAAUCUGCCCUUCUCUUUGGAAUAAGCGUUGGAAACGACGUCUAAUGCCGAAUACGACCUCCUUUCGCAUGAUCGGAGGUGGAAAGCUCCGGCGGAGAAGGAUGAGCUCGCGGCCUAUCAGCUAGUUGGUGUGGGUAAUGGCUCACCAAGGCGACGACGGGUAGCCGGCCUGAGAGGGUGACCGGCCACACUGGGACUGAGACACGGCCCGGACUCCUACGGGAGGCAGCG